rnacentral:lncRNA from 1 species
GGGUGGGUAUGCUGUGUGUGUGGCUGUUCUUUUUUACUCCCUGCUAGAUAAAGUUCAAAUAUCUUUAUAAAUAUAUAGCUUGCGUAGGUUAGUUUGUGAAUAGCUGCUAGAAAAAAAACUUUUUAAUUCUUUAAAUUCUCAAACCCAACAUUUGCCAUUUUAAAUUUACAUGUUUUUCUCGUAAGCUUCCGUUAAAUCCAAAG